UUCUUUGCCACCUCCCCCCCCUCUCUCUCUCUCUCUUUCUCUAGGGUUCCAUGAGACCUCCAUUUCACGUCCUUUCACCUUCCUCUUUGAUCCACGCUCUCGCCACCACCGCCUGCGCAAGCGAUUAGCCCCAACACGAGGACUCAUUGGAGACUUCAGUCGCUCGGUUCCGCUCCCCUUUCAGCUGAUGGCCAAGACCAAGCCAGGCAAGAAGGACCUCGAUUCCUACACCAUCAGGGGCACCAACAAGGUCGUCGAAGUCGGCAACUGCGUGUUGAUGCGGCCAUCGGAGUCGGACAAGCCGCCGUACGUGGCGAGAGUGGAGAAGAUCGAGGCCGAUCACCGUAAUAACGUGAGGGUGAAGGUUCGGUGGUACUACCGACCCGAGGAGUCCAUGGGUGGCCGCCGGCAGUUCCAUGGCGCGAAGGAGCUGUUCCUCUCUGACCACUAUGACGUGCAGAGUGCGCACACCAUCGAGGGCAAGUGUGUCGUCCACACCUUCAAAAACUACACCAAGUUGGAGAAUGUGGGCGCUGAGGAUUACUUCUGCCGCUUCGAGUACAAGGCUGCCACUGGGGCCUUCACGCCUGAUCGCGUGGCAGUGUACUGCAAGUGUGAGAUGCCUUACAACCCGGAUGAUCUGAUGGUCCAGUGUGACGGAUGCAAGGAUUGGCAAACGUUGAUCAGAUAGCAAGCUUUGAAUUCUUCUCAUUCUGCUAGAUCUGAACAGCAGCAAAAGGUUCCAUCCACCUUGCAUGGGCAUGGCAAUUGAACAAGCAAAAAAGUUGGAACACUUUCUAUGCGCUGACUGUGACACUGAAAAUGAUGCAAAAAGAUCUGCAAAUGGAUUCCCAGCUUCACCAGUCUCUGAACCCAAGGCUGAACCUAAAAGGAGGAAGAGGUAAUUGCCAUUGCUGUUGCUUCAGCUUUCGAGGGGGCAGUUCACCUGCAUUUUAUGAAAAAUCUACUCAUCUUGAUGGUAGUUUGAGAUUGUACAGUGCAGAGAAUAGACUAUUUGAAAGGAAACCAUUACAAUAUUAUGAACUUGUGAAACUGUAAGCUGGUAAGAAAUGCAAUGAAAAAAGAAAUCAGAUGUGGGUGUUAUCGCCCUCCUCAUGUUCGACAA